GACGAACGCUGGCGGCGUGCUUAACACAUGCAAGUCGAACGGUGAAGCGCCUUCCUUUUUGGUGGGUGUGGAUGAGUGGCGAACGGGUGAGUAACACGUGAGUAACCUGCCCCCUUCUUCUGGAUAACCGCAUGAAAGUGUGGCUAAUACGGGAUAUUCUGGGUCUGUCGCAUGAUGGGUCUGGGAAAGAUAUUGUUUCGGUGGGGGAUGGGCUCGCGGCCUAUCAGCUUGUUGGUGGGGUGAUGGCCUACCAAGGCGGUGACGGGUAGCCGGCCUGAGAGGGGGGACGGUCACACUGGGAAGGAGACACGGCCCAGACUCCUACGGGAGGCAGCAGGGGGGAAUAUUGCACAAUGGGCGCAAGCCUGAUGCAGCGACGCCGCGUGAGGGAUGGAGGCCUUCGGGUUGUGAACCUCUUUCGCCAGUGAAGCAGGACUGCCUCGUGUGUGGGUGGGUUGACGGUAGCUGGAUAAGAAGCGCCGGCUAACUACGUG
rnacentral:rRNA from 1 species